rnacentral:misc_RNA from 1 species
GUUCGUCCCAGUUAUAUCACUACUAUUAACUCCAUAAUAAUAAGUUCAGUCAUGCCAAACGAAAGUGCGCAAUUGUUUCACACAGAUUUUUCUACCAAGGUUGAUAACAGAGGGCGUGCUCGGUCUCAUCUUUGCCUACAAUGCAGAAAAUAGAUGUUGGAUGAUAACAGUCAACGUAGUUUCUAUUAUUAUGGUGGUUAUCUCGGUUGUAUGGCUAAUUGGAAGCCUAUCUUUUGCUGGAAUAUUAAUCGCCCUCAAAGUGGGUUGCAGUAAUUGCGGUAAAGAUGACUACCUCUGCAACGAAAAGUGUGGCAUUUAUUUUGAGUAUGUUAUCCCCAGCGCAGUAUUUAUGGUUCUAUUCUCAGCCAUUACUCUUGUGACGUCAAUCGUGCUGGUUGUUUCAUUCUGCACCUGCUGCAGAUCAAACAUGGAUUCUGCUCCAUUAUAAUGCUAGUGUUGGAUCGUUGCUUAUUCUGCUGAACCAAAUGUUACGAUGCAUGUACUGUAGGCCUAAACAUCAACGUGGACGUACAUUAUUGCACCUAUUUUGUAUUAAUUCUUAUUCAAUUUUAGGAAUUAUAAGAAUUAUCAAUCAACCAAGUCUCUUUGCUUUUGUAAAAGGUUGAAUUUAAAUGUGUGAGUUGAAAUUCCUAUCAUUAGGAUACAAUAAUGUGAAACAAGCAAACGUAGGAGGUAGGCCUACAAUAUCGAAUCAGUAAGGCCCAUUGUUGGAUGUAUCGGUAGUUUUUUAUAUGCAAUAUUUCAAUUUUCUAACAUUACUUCAUAUAUGC